AACGAACGCUGGCGGCGUGGAUAAGACAUGCAAGUCGAACGAGAUUUUUUCCUGUAGCAAUACAGGGAAAAGUCUAGUGGCGAACGGGUGCGUAACACGUGGGCAAUCUGCCUUAAAGUGGGGGAUAGCUCGGCGAAAGCCGAAUUAAUACCGCAUGUGAUCAGGGGAGACACCUUCCCGAAAUCAAAAGUGGCGCAAGCUACUGCUUUUUGAGGAGCCCGCGGCCUAUCAGCUAGUUGGCGAGGUAACGGCUCACCAAGGCUUUGACGGGUAGCUGGUCUGAGAGGACGACCAGUCACACUGGAACUGAGACACGGUCCAGACACCUACGGGUGGCAGCAGUCGAGAAUUUUUCUCAAUGGGGGAAACCCUGAAGGAGCGACGCCGCGUGGAGGAUGAAGGUCUUCGGGUUGUAAACUCCUGUCAUUUGGGAACAAGUGUCGGUACCUAACUGCUACCGGCUUGAUAGUACCAGAAGAGGAAGGGACGGCUAACUCUGUGCCAGCAGCCGCGGUAAUACAGAGGUCUCAAGCGUUGUUCGGAUUCAUUGGGCGUAAAGGGUGUGUAGGUGGCGCCGUAAGUCGGGUGUGAAAUUUCGGAGCUUAACUCCGAAACUGCAUUCGAUACUGCGGUGCUUGAGGACUGGAGAGGAGACUGGAAUUCAUGGUGUAGCAGUGAAAUGCGUAGAGAUCAUGAGGAAGACCAGUGGCGAAGGCGGGUCUCUGGACAGUUCCUGACACUGAGACACGAAGGCCAGGGGAGCAAACGGGAUUAGAUACCCCGGUAGUCCUGGCAGUAAACGGUGCACGUUUGGUGUGGGAGGAUUCGACCCCUUCUGUGCCGGAGCUAACGCGUUAAACGUGCCGCCUGGGGAGUACGGUCGCAAGAUUA
rnacentral:rRNA from 1 species